GGCAGGGAUUUUGGUGACGGGGAAAAGGGAGGCGGAGCGAAACGAGAGACAGCAGUCGCUUUGGUCUCUCGCAUGCCAGAAAACCCGCAAAAAGCAGCAGAGAGGCGCGAGCGCAGCGGGGAGACCGCGAGAAAGCUGGAGAGGAUGACACAGACAGCAACGUUACUGCGGAAACACGAGAGGUGGAAAGAGAGAGAGGCGAGAGAAGAGCGCGAGGACGGGAUUUUUUCGCUUCUUUCCACUCUGGUGGUUUUGCUGGACGGGAAAAGAAGGCGAUACGCAGAAGGCACAUAUCGGCACAGCCAGAAAGCCCCGUCGCUCGUCCCGACUAGCAAUUCAGAAAACAGAAAAAGACGGCGAACCUAGAAAGAGAGAGAAGCGAACGCAGCACUACACGGGUCUUCCUGCUCUCAAUUCGCCUGACGUGCAUGUCUCGCUUUUCCGAAUCGCGGAACGUACAGAGAAAAACUUCCAAGACAGGGAGGAUAUCCCGACU
rnacentral:lncRNA from 1 species